UCGUUUUUGAAAUGUUACAUUAAAAAACAGCACUAGGAACCUUGACCUCUCUAUCGACAUCUGUGUUUGAAAUUAAACUGAAUGUUACUUGCGUAUUAGCUCUUUUACGUCAGCUGUGCUUUGGCAGUGCUGCGCGGAUGAAUCUUCAUGGUUACAUGUGAUCGUCAUACGGGAGCGGAUCUGUCACGCUUGUCAAGCAUCACUGACGGUAAUUUCCAACAAAGACUAUUUCAGAAAAAGGUCACCAGAGCAAAGGAAGCGAGCACACCUGAACCAAACCAAAUCCACGUAGUCUUCAAUGACUUCAGGACAGGCAUUAAAAUAAAUGUUAGGAUCUCACAUGGGAAUGGAGAGCAAUAACGAGGCUGCAUCCUUCGAAGGCUGCAUUCAAAAGGCUGAUGGCGUCACAGCGGAGCAACAAAGGCUGUCCCAAUUCAAAUGCUUCUUCAAAUACGGACGCGAAACGUGUCCUUCAUUUCCGGGCAAUGACGGAUACAACAGAUGGAUCCUUCACAGCCUACCCUACCCCAGAAUUCAUUGCACUUGUGACGACAGGAUUUUUUGAGAAAAAUUGCCGGAUUACACUUUAAAUCACAAGUAUUGGGUUUCAAAUUAUUCGAAUAUCAAAUGAUACAAAUGUAAAAAUAAAAAACUUUAAAGAGGUUCAAAUGUUGUCAUACACUAUAUUGCCAAAAGUUUUAGGAUGCCUGCCUUUAUGU